CCUCUCUGCCAGCGACAUGCAAUGUCACUUUUCAAUCAUUUGUACGUACUAACCUUCGUUUUGAUUUAAAUAUUGCCAAACAAAAAACACAUAUUAUUUUUUCCAUUACACAUUUUUAAACCUUUGGGAACGGCAGAUCGAGAUAAGAAAACAGUGGGAGAGGAGAGGGCAUUAGUGUCAGUGGAAAUGCUGAUUAAUAAUCGACUAAGCGUAGCGAUUAGACUGCGAGUAUUUAAGUUGUCGAUCGCCUAGAUCUUUGGAUCUCUUUCUGUGAGUUCGCUGCCUCUCUUCUCUGGUGUUGGUUGGGUGUGGAUGUUCAACGCCUGCUCAAUGAUAGCACCUCAAGGCGCUUUCAAUUUAUACAAUUACGCAACAGUCCGGCUCGGCUGUUUGUCCGGCACGGCAGUGUUCAUCCAAAUUAUGGGGUCUUAUGGAGCCUAUGGGGAUUAUGUAUGUGUGGGCGGAGCAGAACGGUGCCUCAGGUUGCCUUCUUUGUGCCUUUAAUCGACCGGCCACAAUUUGCGCUGGCUUAAAUGAUCUCUAGCUCAAUUGCCGAAUGGAAGAAUGUCAGAGCCAAUUCCGAUUGAUGACUGCGGAGGUCAGUCAAUCGAUUGACAGACAGAAUCUCUCAAAGACAAGCCGAUAAGUCUUAGUGAAGUGUGUCACAAUAGCCAAGGUUAUGUUCUCUUUAUACCUCUGAGAUGGGAUUAACCUAAGGUUCAAGUUGGAUGCUGUAUUU
rnacentral:lncRNA from 1 species